GUCGCUCCGUGAUCGCACUGUGCCGUCCAGUGACUGCACCGUGUGACCUCGCACCUGCUCCGGUCCUCAUCGUUCCUGAGCGGUGCUACGUUCCUGCUUCGUGUCGCUCCGUGAUCGCACUGUGGCAUCCAGCGUGGUGGCCUCUCGUCUAUCGUGCGUGCGCCCUCCCCACGGGGGGAGCUAACGCAACACAGGACACAAACACGACCACCUAAUAGCGUGAAAUAUUUGGGAAGGAAGUCUUCUUCCCAAAGGGGGGAGGAUGGUUGUCGCAAUAAACGGUCAAAUCGAAUUGUAAUCCUGAUGUCGACUCCGACACGUCGGCAUGCGAAUUCUCGCAUGCGUUUCUCCCGCAUACGUCUAGGAGAAUGCGUUUCUCCCACGCACCAGCUCGACCAAUCACGGGCCGACACGUUAUCGUUCGGCACGUGGCAACGAGAGAAUGCGCUAUCCUGCUUCCUGCGAGAAGCAUCUAUAAAGCGAUCGAUCAGCGGAUCGAUCGCUCUCUUAUCAUAUUGAUCUCAACGUGAACGGAGAUCACCGCAAGUAUACUUUAAUUGCAAAUAAAACGUGUUUAUCUUUAUCCGUGUGUAA